rnacentral:tRNA from 1 species
GGAUUGUGGCUCAGCGGUAGAGCGCUCGCUUAGCAUGGGUGGGACCUGGGUUCAAUCCUCAGCACCA